GCAUGUGCCAGAUUUCAACACAAUAUUGCUAUGUGGGAGUGUAAUAGCUUUCUUGGCCUUAAUUGGUCAUUUAUGUGCUCGGACCAUGAUACUCAGUGGCCUGCAAAUGAGUUGUCGAGCUGUAUUUAAGAGCCAUUAAGGGAGAUGGAUUUGGAUUUUUAAGACCGUGUAAUGUGGUACUGAUUUGUGGCUCCACUGACUGGAUCUAUGGGGUCUACCCUUGUCAGGGUUUUAAGGCUGGCUCCACUCCAGACCAGACAUGAUUCCUGGCUUUGUUCCAGGGAGAAUGAGAUCAGAAUGGACACCGAACAGUACACACAUUCUGAAUAGACAUCCUUGUUGUAGUAUUUGUUUUUUUUUUUUCAAGUAUUUGUUGUUGGGUUUUUUUAACACAAUCAUAAAUUCCUUUUCUUCAUUUUAAUCCAGCUCAUGAGGAAGUCAGCACUGCGAAUGAAGUAAUUUACCGCGUGGGUGACGAUUGGGACAAGGGCCACACUCAGCUCAAAGACCAGUGCCAGGAACAUGAGACCAAGGUGUUCUACCAGAUUGGCCAGACAUGGAACAAGGUUAUCCAAGGCAUCUGGUAUAGAUGUUCCUGCUAUGGGAAUGGCUUUGGAGAACUGGCCUGUAAGCCUCUGCAGUCUACUGAUCCUCUAGUGAAUCCAGUGAUCUCCAUCAGUCCAUCUGGUGAAAUAGUGUCAGGAGAUUCAGUGCCUCUGAUCUGCAGCAGUGAUUCAAACCCUCCUGCUCUGAACUUCAGCUGGUUUA